AGGGUUUGAUCAUGGCUCAGAACGAACGCUGGCGGCGUGCUUAACACAUGCAAGUCGAACGAGAACGUUCCUUCGGGAACAAGUAGAGUGGCGCACGGGUGAGUAACGCGUGGGUAAUCUGCCCUUGGGUGGGGGAUAACUUCGGGAAACUGAAGCUAAUACCGCAUAAGUCGGAGACGAGAAAGAUGGGGAUCUUCGGACCUGUCGCCCUUGGAUGAGCCCGCGUAUCAUUAGGUAGUUGGUGGGGUAAUGGCCUACCAAGCCGAAGAUGAUUAGCUGGUCUGAGAGGAUGAUCAGCCACACUGGGACUGAGACACGGCCCAGACUCCUACGGGAGGCAGCAGUGGGGAAUAUUGCGCAAUGGAGGAAACUCUGACGCAGCAACGCCGCGUGUGUGAAGAAGGCCCUCGGGUCGUAAAGCACUGUUGAGUAGGAAGAGACGACUGCGAUUAAUACCCGCAGUCCCGACGGUACUACUUUAGAAAGCACCGGCUAACUCCGUGCCAGCAGCCGCGGCAAUACGGAGGGUGCAAGCGUUGUUCGGAAUUAUUGGGCGUAAAGGGCGCGUAGGCGGGCCAUUAAGUCUGAUGUGAAAUCCCUCGGCUCAACCGAGGACGUGCAUUGGAAACUGAUGGUCUUGAGUCCUGGAGAGGAAAGCGGAAUUCCCAGUGUAGAGGUGAAAUUCGUAGAUAUUGGGAGGAACACCAGCGGCGAAGGCGGCUUUCUGGACAGUGACUGACGCUGAGGUGCGAAAGCGUGGGUAGCAAACAGGAUUAGAUACCCUGGUAGUCCACGCCGUAAACGAUGGGUACUAGUUGGUGCGGGUGUUGACCCCUGCGCUGACGCAGCUAACGCAUUAAGUACCCCGCCUGGGGAGUACGGCCGCAAGGCUAAAACUCAAAGGAAUUGA
rnacentral:rRNA from 1 species